UGGGGAAUAUUGCACAAUGGGCGCAAGCCUGAUGCAGCCAUGCCGCGUGUAUGAAGAAGGCCUUCGGGUUGUGAAGCACUUUCAGCGGGGAGGAAGGCGGUGAGGUUAAUAACCUCAUCGAUUGACGUUACCCGCAGAAGAAGCACCGGCUAACUCCGUGCCAGCAGCCGCGGUAAUACGGAGGGUGCAAGCGUUAAUCGGAAUUACUGGGCGUAAAGCGCACGCAGGCGGUCUGUCAAGUCGGAUGUGAAAUCCCCGGGCUCAACCUGGGAACUGCAUUCGAAACUGGCAGGCUAGAGUCUUGUAGAGGGGGGUAGAAUUCCAGGUGUAGCGGUGAAAUGCGUAGAGAUCUGGAGGAAUACCGGUGGCGAAGGCGGCCCCCUGGACAAAGACUGACGCUCAGGUGCGAAAGCGUGGGGGGCAAACAGGAUUAGAUACCCUGGUAGUCCACGCCGUAAACGAUGUCGAUUUGGAGGUUGUGCCCUUGAGGCGUGGCUUCCGGAGCUAACGCGUUAAAUCGACCGCCUGGGGGAGUACGGCCGCAAGGUUA
rnacentral:rRNA from 1 species